CUCACCAGGAAGUUCUAAGAACCAGAAUCAGAAUCACCAACAUAGUUUUUCCAAGAAAAACAAAUUUUGCUCUCUGAGGAAAAGCGGAAGUGCACAGUGAGUGCAGUUUGAAACACGUUUUCAUAGACUUUCAGAGAUCAAUAUCCAUUCUGCCCUUAACAUCCACCAAAAGCAAGAGCUGCGACCGUGAGAAUGGUGGUGAAUUAAAGUCAUUUCAUGAAUAUGAAAAAUAUAAGUGCUUCAUCACAGCUGUAUACUUAUUCCUUCGAUGAUUCCAUCAAUGGCGCUCUUCACAGCUGCACGCGAAAACUGCGUUCUUGGCGGUGUAUAGCAGACUAACCAGAAGAAAGCUGUAUGGAUGGUCAUUAAAAAAGAAAAGGGAAACAAAAGUAGAAGUCUCAUUGCACAGCUGACAUUUACUGUCUUAUCAGGGUGUUCCUUGAGAAAAGAGACCAAAUGUAUUCCUAUCACACCAUUAAAGACACUGAAAUGAAACAACACUGCACUUGUGGAGGUAGGUUCUUGAAAACUCAGACACCGUUUUCUUUAAGGUAACAACAUUUCCAGCAUGCCAGCUUCAAUAUCCACGUGCAUAAGCAAAAGUCUGCUUAUUCCAAGACCUCCGAGCUCUGCUUUCAAAUCAAGAGGUUGAAUAAGGAAAAUUUGUACCGGUGGUUGAAGCAAGGUUUCAUCUUAAUCAAUUAUUCACUCUGAAUACAAAUGCUCUGUUUAGCUUCAGCAAGGGCUCUUUAAUACUAAUGACGCAUUUAGUCAGAUGUCGUGUCUCCUUCAGAAUCCUGGGACAAACCCAGAUUGUAUGUUGAAUUGACAAAAAGGGAAUUUUCUUAGAAAAAAUGCAAUUGUUAGUAAAUCGUUUGAGCACUUUUUCCAUGAUACAACGAAUGAAACAAUCAUGAAAAAGGAAAUGGAUAGCCUUUUAAGCAAAAUCAAAAUAAAUACAAUCACAUUAAAUCAUUAACCUUCAAAGUUAAGUUGUUUUGAUGGGUAUAAAUGGGUAUUUUUGUCUUUCUUCAAGAUCAUGGCCAUGACCCUUUUAUUGAAUGGAGUUUAAGCCCCCCAUAUUGUUUACAGUUACUCAUUUACUCUGAACACAGGGUGUCUUCUGAGGCCACAUGCCUUCUCUGUUGUUCAAAAGGUGAAAAGACUGUCAUUAUGGACAGAUACAUACAGAUAAGAGACAUUAGUGUAUCAACGGUUUAAU